GACGAACGCUGGCGGCGCGCUUAACACAUGCAAGUCGAGCGAGAACCAGGGCUUCGGCCCUGGGGACAGCGGCGAACGGGUGAGUAACACGUGGGUAAUCUGCCCUCGGCACCGGAAUAGCCCGGGGAAACCCGGAUUAAUGCCGGAUGGCCCCUUCACCUCGCGAGGUGUCGGGAAAAGGUAGCUUCGGCCUCUGGCCGAGGAUGAGCCCGCGGCGGAUUAGCUUGUUGGCGGGGUAACGGCCCACCAAGGCGACGAUCCGUAGCUGGUCUGAGAGGACGAUCAGCCGCACUGGGACUGAGACACGGCCCAGACUCCUACGGGAGGCAGCAGUGGGGAAUCUUGCGCAAUGGGCGAAAGCCUGACGCAGCGACGCCGCGUGAGGGAAGAAGGCCUUCGGGUUGUAAACCUCUUUCAGGAGGGACGAAGCUACUCGGGUGAAUAGCCCAGAGGGUGACGGUGCCUCCAGAAGAAGCCCCGGCUAACUACGUGCCAGCAGCCGCCGUAA
rnacentral:rRNA from 1 species